rnacentral:rRNA from 1 species
CCUACGGGGGGCAGCAGUAGGGAAUAUUGCUCAAUGGGGGAAACCCUGCAGCAGCAACGCCGCGUGGAGGAUGAAGGUUUUCGGAUUGUAAACUCCUUUUGUUAGAGAAGAUAAUGACGGUAUCUAACGAAUAAGCACCGGCUACCUCCUGGCCAGCAGUCGCGGUAAUACGGAGGGUGCAAGCGUUACUCGGAAUCACUGGGCGUAAAGAGCGCGUAGGGGGGAUAGCAAGUCAGAUGUGAAAUCCUUUGGCUUAACCAUAGAACUGCAUUUGAAACUGUUAUUCUAGAGUAUGGGAGAGGUAGGUGGAAUUCUUGGUGUAGGGGUAAAAUCCGUAGAGAUCAAGAGGAAUACUCAUUGCGAAGGCGACCUGCUAGAACAUAACUGACGCUGAUGCGCGAAAGCGUGGGGAGCAAACAGGAUUAGAUACCCGGGUAGUC